CGGUCCUGAGUAGAGUGGCGCACGGGUGAGUAACGCGUAGAUAAUCUGUCCUUGUGUCUGGAAUAAUACGUCGAAAGGUGUACUAAUACCGGAUAUUCUUGCUUUUUAUAGGGAGAGUAAGCAAAGGUGGCCUCUGACAUAAGCUACUGCACAAGGAGGAGUCUGCGUACCAUUAGCUAGUAGGUGGGGUAAUGGCCCACCUAGGCGACGAUGGUUAACGGGUCUGAGAGGAUGAUCCGUCACACUGGCACUGGAACACGGGCCAGACUCCUACGGGAGGCAGCAGUGAGGAAUAUUGCGCAAUGGGGGCAACCCUGACGCAGCGACGCCGCGUGAGUGAGGAAGGCCUUCGGGUCGUAAAGCUCUGUCAAAGGGAAAGAAGUGUAUAACGGUUAAUACCCGUUAUAUUUGACGGUACCCUUAAAGGAAGCACCGGCUAACUCCGUGCCAGCAGCCGCGGUAA
rnacentral:rRNA from 1 species